AGUAGUUUGCACAAACAGCGGAUGGAGAACUGAGAAAGGUGGCUGAAUCACACAGCAUAACAAAGCGGGGAAUAUGCUGGCCGGAGAAAGCAGGCAUUGGACAAAGAUGGUGCGGAAAGCUCUGAAGGUGAGGAUUCAGCGUGAAGGCGGCUGGGAUGAACAAGCCAGUGACAUCAGCAUAUGAUAUCAGCAUUUUCAUUGAGACAGCUUCUGAAAGCUCCUGCCUCCCAGCAGCAUUUGCUCAGAUUAGAAGUUCCUGAAGUUUGCCCACAUCUCUGAUGGUUGUUAUGAUACAGGUAAUCAUGUCAGAUCUGAAACUGGUGUCCUGGUAACUAGUUAACACAUCCAGUGAAACACAUGCAUGUGGUUAGAGGAACACGCAAGCAAAACCACUGCACUAUUUUCUCUUCUUAGAGUGCUUUAGAAUUGGUUAAAAAAAUAUUGCAGUUACCAAUGGUGCAAAACAGCAUCAAAAAAAAAAAAAACAAAAAAAAAUUCAAAAAACGCAAUGCCUUGAGAUUUCGUAUUUAACCACACUGGCAACUGAAACAUAAAAUUAGGAACUGCGGCAUCUCAGACCUUCCAUUAAGAGUUCCUGCAGCCCCUCCCUGCCCCCCACCUGCAGGGAGCAGUGACUAACAGGCCAGAGAGGUGGCUGCGCACACCAAUCUGUGGGCAGAAGGCUGCAGGGCUUGUGGCAGGGCUCUACUGGUGCCAAAAUGCUGGAGCUGAAUAGGUUACUUAGUUUCCUAUGAAUGUGAGACACGGCAGAAACUACUGGAUACAUACUACGAAGUGUUUGCCAGCAUUUUGUCUAUGAGCAAAAAUGAAGAGAAAAGGCAGAAAAAAAAAAGAAAACAACACUCUGCUGACACAUCAGAUGUUUAAAACUGCAUUGACAGUCAUCAUCCAAAGCUGUAGGUGAAGCAAUUAUUGUUGAUGGCUGAACAAACAAGGCUUCUCAUGUCCCACUGUCUCAAAUAACCUACUAAAUAUUUAAAUGAGGGUCAGGAAAAGUAUACAGGCAUCUCAGCUGUCUAUAGGAGAGGCUCGUGUUCUGGGUCAGAAAUCACUGUGGCUAGGAAGGAAUGCAAGGCAUGGCAUACCCUUGCGAUGCAAUCACCGAAUUGAAAAAAAUUCAUGGAGAAUGUCUAGCAUAAAUUACUGCUUCCACAACCGUUGGCCCAAUACUUUACUUACACUGGAAACCUUUUGCAAUUAGUUGAAAUUGAGCUGUCUGGAUGUAAUAUUUCAGGACGGACUUUAUCAGACUCGGUUUGUGAUUCGGUGACACUCAGUAAAGUUGCUUCAGCUACAGUCAUGGUGGAACCCCUCUGGGCUUUGCCAGCAUGGCAGUGAAGCCCACAGUUUGCAUUUGUAAUCCCACGCAUCUGCAAGACUAGAAAUGAAACCCACAUUGAACUACAUUUGUUAGACUCUCUCAACCCACUUCUGAAAGCUCCAUAUACAGGGGAACUUUAUGUAACUGAAAUUAUUUAGAAGAGUCAAACAAAUAUUUUUAACCUUCCUAUUUUCAAAUAUGUUAUUGUCUACACUUCAAGAUUUUAUUUUCAGGCUUUGGAGAUACGCACGUACUCUAUAAGGAAUAAUAAAAAAAAAAGACAUUGCUUCUCCAAGGAGUUCUUCACUUUUCUGGUGAAAUAAAUAUAAAUAAAUCCAGUCUGUUUGUUAUGGUUGGCCUGCAGUGGUAACCUUGGCUGGAUGAGACGCAUUAUGUCAACAUAGCACUGUUGACUUUCUUGUUGUACUUACACAUUCCAGCACUCUACCAAAAAUAAAGGAUAAAAAAAAAGGCCAGUAAGCAAUAUAUGCUUAUAUAUUGAAAAAUCUUUGCUGGACAGAACAAAAGAGACUCUGAGCUCUACCAGGCCCAUGGGGUCACAGAAGUUGGAGACAGCAGGCAUGACACCAGGCAUUCGUGAGGAGGAAAUCAGUUCAGCUACUCCCUCAGGAUGCCUGUGGGGCAGGAGGAGAUGGCAGCAGCAUUCCCACUGCUCUCUCAGAGGAAAACUGAUGAAGGAAGAGAAAUAGAUGAGUGAAGAUGUGCCUCUUACCUUUUUGCUUAUGGCAGGAGUUUUAAUCUCCAUCAUCGCCAGAUGGUGUGCAUAGUAUAUAGUAUAGAGCGACAAACUGAGAAAGACUUGUAGCCCUACGUUGAUUAUGCCUUUGGUCUUAAACCUAUCUGCUAUCACUAGAGCUUUUGUAUACCACAGCCUUGCCCUUUUUAAAAAGGGUUCUCCCCUGCCCCAACUUCAUUUUUUUAUUCAUCCCCAUGUGAGGAUAUUGGUGACUUAAGCCUGUAGCUGGUAGAGACAGAGGAAAUGAGAUGUCUUAUGCUGGUGAUCAGAGCAGUGGGAUUUCAGCAGUAGGAUGUUUCCUUCAGAGAGGAAGAAAAAUCUUCCAUGCAGCCACAGCAGAGCUGUAACUGUGGACUUACCAAACUAUCUUGAAAACACAAAUGCUCUCAUUGGGGACUGACUCCAAAAUCUGCCCAGGAAGCUGAGCACUUGGUGCCUCAGCAGCACUGAGGUGUCUUCCACCCUUGUUACAUUACUGGCACUUUGCAAGUGAGCUACUCCAAAGCUAUUUAAAAGUAAUUACAGGAAUGAUUGCGGUGUAAAUAUUCUCUCACUACAUCUGUGUCUAGAAAUGUCUGUCAAGCAUACCAAGAGCUGGGACAUAGCUCUGUUCUAACAGAAAGCCUCUUAGAAAAUAGUCUAUAGAAAAGAAUGCAUUUGAAGAAAAUGUGAGAUUCUAUAAAGGUUAACUGAAAUUAAGGAUAAAUUGAAAAGUUAUUCCAACUUAAUUAUAGAAGUGUCAUUUAUGGCUGCUUGUUUUUUUUUUUCUAUCCCUUUUUCCUGUGCCUCAAUUAAGAAGAAAAAGCAUUGAGAUUUCCUAAAGUUUGAGAAAAAACCUUUUUAGAUAAAGUGUUGUGAGUUUAAAAUGUUAAUUUUGCUGAGACAGUCUGGAAACAAAUAAGCCUAACCUCUAUGGGUCAAGUCUAAAUUAGUUCUUUUUGAUAAAGAGAAAUCUUAUUGAACAACAACACAUCCAGUAUGGACUAGAAGUCAAUUUUCAGCUGUAGGGAGCUAAGCUGAUUUAAGACUCCAGCAAACAUGUUUCACAUAAUUCAUAAGAGAAAUACAAUGGGAUAUUGUUGGAAUUGUCUGUCAGGGACCCUGCACAGCAGCUGAAGUUCCUGAGGAUGACUUCAUUGCACUAACAGUGCCAAGUCACACAUAGCACUCGUCUCCUAUGGUUAUUACAAAGUUGCUCAAAAGUUAAAAAAGUAAUAGAUUUAAACCUCAAGACAUUAAUCUAUACUGUGCAUAAUCCCCAUUGUCGGUACCAGUCCAAGCAUCAUGUAUAUUACAGUACAAGAGCAUUACUGAAAGAAUUCAUUUUAAGGAUAAAUCUCAAGAUUUCUCUUCACACCUCAGAAAUGGAUUUCUGAGUAAUCCAUUCCUCAGUCUUUGGAAGAGCCUGUCAUCUUACCCACAUGUUGUUUCAUUGUCUAGAAGGCUCCUUCAUUGAUCUAGUGACCCAUCUGGUGGAUGAGGGAAAGGCUGUUGAUGUGGUCUACCUAGAUUUCAGCAAAGCCUUUGACACUGUCUCCUACAGUAUUCUGCAGAAGCUGGCAGUCCGUGGCUUGGACAGAUACCCUCUUGGCUGGGUAAGGAACUGGCUGGAGGGCUGGGCCCAGAGAGUGGUGGUGAAUGGAGUUAAAUCCAGCUGGUGACCGGUCACGAGUGGUGUUCCCCAGGGGUCAGUGCUGAGGCCUGUCCUGUUUAAUAUCUUUAUUGAUGACCUGGAUGAGGGUAUUGAGUGUACCCUCAGUAAGUUUGCAGAUGACACCAAGCUGGCUGGAAGUGUUGAUCUGCCUGAGGGUAGCGAGGCCCUACAGAGGGAUCUGGAUAGGUUGGAUAGCUGGGCUGAAGCCAAUGGGAUGGGAUUCAACAAGACCAAAUGCCGGGUCCUGCACUUUGGCCACAAUAACCCCAGGCAACGCUACAGGCUUGGGGCAGAGUGGCUAGAAGACUGUGUAGAGGAAAUGGACCUGGGGGUGUUGAUUGAUGCUAGACUGAACAUGAGCCCGCAGUGUGCCCAGGUGGCCAAGAAGGCCAAUGGCAUCCUGGCUUGUAUCAGAAAUAGUGUGGCCAGCAGGAACAGGGAAGUAAUUAUCCCCCUGUACUCAGCACUGGUGAGGCCACACCUUGAGUACUGUGUCCAGUUUUGGGCCCCUCACUGUAAGAAAGACAUUGAGGCCCCGGAGCGUGUCCAGAGGAGGGCAACAAAGCUGGUGAGGGGUCUGGAGCAUAGGCCUUAUGAGGAGUGGCUGAAGGAGCUGGGAUUGUUCAGCCUGGAGAAGAGGAGGCUCAGGGGAGACCUUAUUGCUCUCUAUAACUACCUGAAGGGAGGUUGUAGUGAGCUGGGGGUCAGCCUCUUCUCUCGUGUGACUAGUGAUAGGACUAGAGGGAAUGGCUUCAGGCUGCGCCAGGGAAGAUUCAGGCUGGACGUUAGGAAAUACUGCUUCUCUGGAAGAGUGGUCAGGCACUGGAAUGGGCUGUCCAGAGAGGUGGUGGAGUCACCGAGCCUGGUGGUGUUCAAAGAGAGUUUGGAUGUUGUGUUGAGGGACAUGGUUUAGCGAGAACCAUUGGUGAAGGGCAAAUGGUUGGACUGGAUGAUCCUGUGGGUCUUUUCCAACCUUAGUGAUUCUAUGAUUAUGCAGAGCCUUAUCUCGUCAUGGUAUGCUUUGGACUUUGGUUGUAGUUCUUAGUAACCUCCAUGUCCUGAAGCUUAUGGGAAAUGUCUAUUCCAUGUCAAAUGAGCAGCCACAAACACUUGCAAAAUAAAACAUCUACAAAGCAAAAUAGUUGUUAGACCAUCCUACACAGGCAUAAUAACUCUAUAAUAAUAACCAUACACAUGAGAAAUUAUAAAAAAAAAAAUCAGAUAGGCAUUGAGUCUGUAUUUGUAACAGGAAGCAGGACACCUUUACAUCCCCCCAAAAUGGACUUCUCCACUCUUCUAGAUACUUUAUCUGUUUCUUCUCCAGCUGUACGUAUCUUCUUUGCACAUUUAAUAAAUUUUCUACUCCAGCCCUAUAGCCCACAAUAUUUUUUUUGCAUGCCGUCAACCUAAAUUUGGAUAAUCUUCCAUCCCCAACCCCAGCCAGCCAGAGUAUAUUGGUGUUUGAAUAUUAGACAUUGAACUGGCAUGUGAAAGCAACUCUUCUUAGAAACCUGACCUCCUUCGUUUUGGGGUGUGUAAGCCACAUCCUCUUCCCUUUUGUAAACGCUAACUAAUCCCAGAGUGGCUAACACAAUGUACAGUUUAUGAGAUUCACUGGAACCAAGGAUUUGGCACAAGAACUCAAACUGAGGGAUCCAGUAAAAACUUGGCCCUCAGCUAGUAACGUUCUGCUUGUUCUGGGCAUCUCAAAGGAAGAUCUGAACAAUUGCUGCAUGUAAUUAAUAAUUCCAUUGCUGUGUCCUGCCCCUUCCUCAGAAGGAAAAAAUAUCAUCAUUUCCUGGUAUAUCAUGGCAAGAAAACAUUUGCUAUUUAUGCUUUUUGUAAGUGAUGGACCUGGGAGAGAGGGAAGAGUGAAAUCACUGCCAAAUUUAAUUGGGAUUUUUAUUUUGUGGGGGUUUUUUUAUUACAUUUUGUUUUUGGCUGGGAGUCCUUUAAGCAGUUUCUUUUGAAAAAGCCUGGCCAAAAAGUAGCAAAUCUGUAAGUGGCAGGGUUCAUUAAUGACACACACUAGAAUCACUUCUUUCAGCCUUCUCCAAAACAGAGAAAGGAUGGAUGAAUGGAUGGAUGAUUCAUCUUUGAAAGGUUUGCAGUCUCAAGGUUUAAGGCAGACAAGUCUGUAGAUAUUGCUUCCCAUUGCAAUGUGACAAAUGAAUGAUUAUUCAUGCUGUUGACUUCUACCUGUGCCAACAGUUGACCACAAGAGUAACAACUGUGCACCAUUCUUGAUAGUAAAGUGAAAACAGUAAAGUCAGCAAUACAGCAAAAGACAGAAAGAAACUCCACGCAUCGCAGUGUUACACAAAUAUUCUACUGAAGUCAAACAAAAUUAAAAAGGCUUUAUGAAGUGCCCGUCAUGACCCUUGAGUAGUUUCUUGUAAAAAGAAAUACCUAUAUAUUCAUUAAGAUGUACUCUGAAAUUGCCUGCAUUGAUACUGAUGGAAAAUAAGCUAUUCUAGAAAAAUUGUAGUCCUUUGUUCCAUUUGUGAUAAUCAAUUAUAAUUAAAUAUACAUGAAUAUAAUGCUAUAACAUGAUGAAAAGCACAGCAAUGAUAGCAGGAUAGCAAAGUCCUAGGCUGUAGCAAGUGAGAACUUGCUCAAAUACAACAACCACAGAAACAAAUUAAAAAAAAAUUGCUUACCCUUAUAAGACCUCAGUUAAGCAGGGACCUCCUGCAAGAUACUACUGCCUCCACUGCCAACCAUUAAAUCAGGUCUGGGAAGGGGUAGAGCCAGGAUCCAGAUGUAUGCACCUGAGCUCCCCUGGGCUGGCCCUGCCUUCCCACCAGGUGCUCAAUCACUGGUUCAAGCCCUGACUUAGCAUUUCUGCUACAAUGAACAUGUUCCAAAAUAGGUAUAGGGGUGUGAUGUGAACAGUGCAGAAAGAAUUUCUCCCUGUUCCUUCCUUAAUUAACUUGUGAUGAGCUAGGCAAGCUGUGCACCAUAGGAGAACAAUUAGCAGAUGCUAGCUCUAUCAAAUCAAAGAAUUUGAGGCCACAAGACCUUUAAUAAAGCAUUCGGUGGCAGGGACUGACACAGUGAUCUUUCAGCCAGACUUUGCUGUUCCUGUCAGCAAUCUGUAGCUCCUCUAGUUUUGUGUCAGUCUCAAGAAUGAGUCAGGAAGAAAGAGUAAUAAAAAUUCUCCUCUGUAUUUUCUCCUGAAUGUCUUAAUGUUUCUUCAAGCUCUAGAAACAUAAAGUGAAAUUCAUUUUCUUCGCAAGCCUUUCCUUUCUGUGCUCUUGUAAUUAUUAUAUGAGUUCUCAACACAUCCUACGUCUUCUCUUGUCCCCACUUUCUGCACCUUGCUAUACUGAAAUUUAACUGCAGUGCAGAUUUCAUUACCAUACUCCUUAUUUUUCCACUCAGCAAUGCAAUUUCAGAAUUGACAUCCUUCUGCUACUGAAUUUGGUGCCUUUUUUUCCCCUCACAAAAAUAGGAAGAUAUGGGCCCUGAUUAUACCAUGUUCAUUUAUUCCGAUGUCUUCCUCAGUCUAUGAUUUCUGUUGCCCUUUCCAUUGCCAUAAUUUCUCAGCUGUGUGCUUUGUUUUCUUCUGUAUGUGCAUAUACAAGGCUAUCCAAAUACCCAUUCUCUUAUUCCUACUGCAAUAAAUCCCUUCUAAAAAUCCAGCUUCUCUGAGUAAAAAGGACUUUCAAGUCUAUAAAAAUUAAUUGGAUCAAAAUAACAGUGUAACUACUCAUUUACACUUAAAAUCCUCACACACUUCUCUUGUUCUUUCGUCCUCUGAGAAUUUUGCCCAAUUUGACUUCAGCGAAAUGCAAGCUUCAUAAAACGAGGAAAACAAAUAGCUGAAAUUUCAAGUUACUUUUUUUUUUUUUUUUGGAGAUCCGAAUCAAGACUGAAACACUCGACAUGUUCUGGCAAUUAGUUCUGCUCAGAGUUUAAGGUUGAGCACUGAGCCUAGGAGGAUGCCAUGCCUUUUGUCAGCUUGGAAAAUCUUGGCCUUUAUGUCCCAGUCAUUGCUAAAGAUACUGCUGAGAAUCAUCAGUUAGUGCUAUUACCAUUAAAUGCAGUGAGUCAGAGCAUUCCAGUUGGUUUCUUUUCUUUAAGGGAUGGAUUACAUUAAUUGUUAUACGAAUGAAAGAACUGAAAAACUUCCAAUUCUCUGCUCUGUGCUGCUAGAAUUGUGCAUGCUGUUUGAGACAAUCCAGGACUUGGGCAGAGGUGUGCUGGCUUUGGAAAUGAUUGCCUGAUUCCGUAAAAGAGAGACAAAAGGAGACAGAAAAUACCCUGCUCUGCCAACCAGAAACCAUAAUAGAGGGGAACUUUACGUGCAACAAUAAUAAUAGCAUGCAACUGCAUGGCACAAGUCAUAAUCAGAACACUUCCCCAGUGAUGAAAGACCCACCAGUUUCAUAUCGUUCAUCUGACAUUAAAAUAUAGUACUGCAGAAAGACGUGGUUAGUUUUGAGUACGCAAUGUAGUCAUUUCCUUGAAGAAACCAGUGGAUACUCAUAGACAUUUGCUGUGUUUUGUAACAAUGACAACUACCACAGGCAAUACAAUUUUAAAAAUAACUUUCAUAAAAGAAUUUUCAGUUCACUUCCUGAGAUCAUAAACUGUCAAAGUUACUCAGAAAAGGAGGCUUAAGGGCCUGAACACUUGGGUGUUAGUAAAUUUUUGGGUUCACAAACCCACACCAGCUUCUCUCAAGGUUCCUGGGGUUCAGAAAAAGCAGCUUUUCUCUCGGCUCAGCGGAGGUGUUCUCAGCACAGUGUAAGUGCUGCACCAGGCUGAGGGGAGCAGCGUCCUUCCCCCAGGCCCAGCUACACGCAGCUCCCAGCCAGAGGGAAGGACUGCCCCAGCAGAACGGUUACACCAGAAUUUACAACUAUUUAUUUGGAAAUGGGAACCUGGGGCCUUUCUGCUUUCAAAACCAGAGAAGUCUUCUCAAACCACAGUUAAAGGAGGAAAUGCUCUUUUCUCCAGAAGUUACGGUGUUCAGUCAAGCAGCAGUCCCAGCACUUGUGUGUCUGAAUAUUAUGGAGAUUCCCUAUUCAGCUGCUGCAGGAUGUUAACCCUCUUUCAUAUUCUCCUGUUGAAGCAGUCCCUCUUGCACUGAGCGUGUUCAAUAUUCAUGGACCUGGGGGAAGUGUGAAGGGAAGCCUCUGUAGGCCAAUGCCUUCCAGUCCUUGCUCCCGAAAGGACACUGGGCUGCUUUAUGGAUCUGACAACAAAGGGAAUUGCAUUUGCAUAGCAGGAUGUUUGGGCUGGAUGCCUUAGGUUUAUGGGUCAUUAUAUACUUUCUGGAGAAAAAAUAAAAUCAUUUCACACUUUAAAGCUCAGCAAAAGUACAGAAGUCCCAUUGAUGAAAUGAUUCAAAUCAAUUUAGUCAAGGUCUGGGAUAUUUGGAAAGCACAUUCCAAAAUGCGCUAGGUGGGCUAAAUUCCUUUAGCUUCUUGCUGCCUAAAUCAAAUUGAAAAUUUUAAACAACUGUGAAUGCUAUUAUUUUCAGCGAUGUUUUCAGAAAUACGGAUUUUCCAGAGAAACUCUGGCUAUUACAAGGAUUUUUUCAUUCUUAGUGUAACAGAUCUUCAGUAGAUAGCAGUACAUCUGCAUCCUCUUGGCUGCAGCCAUCGGCUCCCCUCUGCCCUCCCUCCUCAGCUCUCUGUGGUUCCUGCAGCUAUGAUGAGAUGCAGUCUUUCCUGACAAGUACUGUGGAGCUCCUUCAAAGAGGCCAGUUCUUGUCCCCCUUUGGGCUUGGGAUGCAAAUGUGGACUACAUUUAUUGCAGCUGUACAAAAAACUUCCUCCAGUUUUGCACCUGUGUAAGAGCCCACCAGCAAAAGGUACUGUGGGGUUUGUUGUAGUCCUUAUAAUUGAAUAUCUUUGCAUUUUUAGGGAAAUUUCACAGAGGGAAACAGCAAUGAGGCAGGUGGCCAAGAGCACAUAUGGCAGCACUGACACAAACAUAUGAAAAUUAUAUCCAAAACAAGAGGGAACGAGGUCCUGCUUCUUUACCAGAACAAACACCUCCCUGAAUUUCAGGGGCAGAGCAUUGUCGGAGUGAAGGAUGGCAGUUGCACAUGCGUGCCAUAAAGGUUUUGUGGAGCAUAAACAAACUGUGGGCCAUUAAGAGAAGCAGAUGGAGCCAAGUGCACCUUUGGCAGCCCAGCAAUCUGUGACAGCUCCCGGUGUGCAGAGUGCAGCAUCUUCCCUCGGGGAGCCGCUUGCUGCCCGCCACUGUGCUUUUUGCCUGUGUUCCUUUACUCAUCAUUGCCAUCAGAACCAAACUACAGCACAGAAAGGAACACAGCCACCGACCAGCCAACCAAAAAUCUCCCACUACAACCUUAAUAAAAUAUACGGGCUCCGAUGCUUCCCAUAAGGUACAACACCCGAAGGGCAAUAGCCAACCCUACUGUGAGCCAACCAUACUGUGGGGUAUGGACAUCACCUCACUCCUUGUGAUAUCUUGCAGAUAUCUUUGCAUUAUGUCAGUCACUUUUAGAGCAAGGAAGAAAAUGGUGUCACCAAUCAGGUGUGUCAGAGUGGGAUUGCUCCCUGGGAGAACACGCCUUGGGCUUUGGGCAGCCCGGCUUUACGCUCCCUAUGGGACAGAGAUCUCACCACCUCCCUUACACCACUCUGCAUUCACGCUGAAAAUGGUGUGGGGGAGUUUUUCACUGCUGCUCAGGCUUUUCCCGUCCAAAGUUAUGCCACUGCUAUUGGUGCCUCUGUCUCGCUGGCAGCCCCGCUGCGAUAGCGCAGUUGCAGUAGAAGCUUGAGGAUUUCUGUCCUGCCUUUGAGGCUCUUUGGGGAUCACUUCUAAUGACCUUUUUGUAAGAGCUCUUUCCCGAGACAGUGACCGUGUGCCUACAGAAACUAAAAGCAAACAGACCCUCGGUUAAAACCGCUCCUGCCGCUCCCCCGCUGACCAGGAGCGCUGUGCCCGAAGGCAAAGCGAUGCCCCUCCUGCAGCCGUGGCAGUGCCGCAGCGCCCGUCCGCAAUGAGCGCAACUCCGUCGGCACCGACGAGGCUGGGCGGGCCCCCGGGAGCUGCGGGGAGCGCGCUGAGCCCUGAGCACAGGACGGGAGGCUGAGGGGGGCCGUCGGAAGCAGCUAACCCCAAACCCACCGACGGUUCACGUUUCUAUCUGUUUGCUUUGGACGUUCGGUAGCCCUUCGUGAAUAGCAUCACUCCCCCGAUCUCGGUGCCUUUCAGAGAGCUAAGAAAGAAGGGACGGGGCUCGCACAAAGUUCAACGCAUGCAUUUUUAAGCACUCGGCCCGUUCUAGGAGCGCUGGCGGAGCACCGCAGCCCGUCCCGCCCUCGGAAUCACUGCGCUGUCGAAGGGGCGUAGGGCGCCAAGGCACCUCGGCAGCCGCCCCGGGUCCCUCCGCCUUUGUCCCAGCGCCGCCACCGCGGCCCCCUCCC
ensembl:lncRNA